AGCAGCCGCGGUAAUUCCAGCUCCAAUAGCGUAUAUUAAAGUUGUUGCAGUUAAAAAGCUCGUAGUUGAAUUUCGGGAUUGACCCAUCGGUCGUGCCUUAAGGGUAUGAACUGGUGUAGUCAAUUUCUCACCUUCUGGAGAACCGUGAUGUCCUUAAUUGGGUGCCACGAGGAACCAGGACCUUUACUUUGAAAAAAUUAGAGUGUUUAAAGCAGGCAUUUUUGCUUGAAUACAUUAGCAUGGAAUAAUAAAAUAGGACGGCAUGAUUCUAUUUUGUUGGUUUCUAGGAUCACCGUAAUGAUUAAUAGGGAUAGUUGGGGGCAUUAGUAUUCAAUUGUCAGAGGUGAAAUUCUUGGAUUUAUUGAAGACUAACUACUGCGAAAGCAUUUGCCAAGGAUGUUUUCAUUAAUCAAGAACGAAAGUUAGGGGAUCGAAGACGAUCAGAUACCGUCGUAGUCUUAACCAUAAACUAUGCCGACUAGGAAUCAGACGAUGUUAAUUUUUUAAUGACUCGUUUGGU
rnacentral:rRNA from 1 species